GGAAAGAAAAAGGAUAUCAAAUAUUUCCAAACACAUGCACGUAAUAUUUCACAUAAACAUAUCAAGUAAGUAGAGACAUUAAGAUUGACCAUAUAGAUUAUGGCCAAAGCUGCAAUAACCAUGUAAUAGCAGCACUUAUUUAUCUAUAUAUUACAUAAGACAGAUCGAUAGUGCCAUUUAUAUAUGAAAUGGCAAUAGAUUCAGAUCAUUUAUUUUCAGCAAUGGUAAUAGCAAUAGCAAUCUCCAUGGUAGCAAUUGCCAUAAUCUGCAUCUUCCUUAUUCUUGCACCAAUGGUUACACUUCCUGGGAAAGCACUUCCCAUUCCAGCUUUUGCUGGGCUUCCCACAGUGUUUUGCUUCUGUUAUUUGCACCUC
rnacentral:lncRNA from 1 species